rnacentral:rRNA from 1 species
AUUGAACGCUGGCGGCAGGCCUAACACAUGCAAGUCGAACGAGUGGCGGACGGGUGAGAAAUGUCUGGGAAACUGCCUGAUGGAGGGGGAUAACUACUGGAAACGGUAGCUAAUACCGCAUACCAUCGGAUGUGCCCAGAUGGGAUUAGCUAGUAGGUGGGGUAAAGGCUAACCUAGGCGACGAUCCCUAGCUGGUCUGAGAGGAUGACAAGCCAUACUGGAACUGAGACACGGUCCAGACUCCUACGGGAGGCAGCAGUGGGGAAUAUUGCACAAUGGGCGCAAGCCGGAUGCAGCCAUGCCUCGUGUAUGAAGAUGGCCUUCGGGUUGUAAAGUACUUUCAGCGGGGAGGCGUUACCAACAGAUUAAGCACCGGCUAACUUCGUGCCAGCAGCCGCGGUAAUUC